CCCAUUCGUCGGCGAGCGGUGAUCAUUGAUAACCGAUUUUCCGUCGUGUACGUCGCCUCAUUGCCGCAAUAGCAUCGAAAAUCACUGAUACACGAUUACACAUUAUGAAAAUGCACUCUUGUAUUUGUUAAAAUACGAUCGAACGCCCGUAACCAAAAACCAAAUGUUGGUGGUUAUCGUCCGAAAGUAUUAUUCUCAAAUCUCAACGCUAACUCACCAAUAAGCAUAAUCGCAUUAUAACAAUGUUUACACGCGCAAAUCGCGAAUAUAACGUUUUAUAAAACAUUUUUUUUUAAUAUCAGUCAUGUGCUAGUAAAGGCACCUAUACGUUAUAAAUUACGAGAGAUACAUAAUUCUGAAUACCAUAAAAAGCUCGUUUUUGGAUUUUUUUUAAUGUAAACCGUGAAUUCUGCAAUUUUAAAUUGCAAUACUUAUUAUUUUAUUAUUUAUAUCAUACGAUUACCACCUAUGCAGUCAACAAACCGAGUUUUUCGACUACCACAUAAUAUUUGCUGGAAUACUGAGAUCACAACAGUCUCAUUGUAAAGCAAAUAUUACAAAAUUACAAACAAGAAAUGGUGUACAGUAGUUGUAAGUAAUUACAAGACAACUUUGUAGACAAUUUAUAUUAUUACUUUCAACUGAAAUAUUAUAUUAUUUAAAAUUAUUAUCUAUUAUUUUUUUUGAAAAAAAAUAGUAGGUAGAAUAUCUAUAAAAUAAUUGUUUCUGAAAUUGUUACUUGACACCUAUGAAUGGGAAUGAAUAAUAGAUAUGCUCCCAGCACUGGUUAGAAAAUGCAGCACAGCAAGCAGAGAAAAAUCUUACCGGAGGACAAAAGAAAAAAAGAACAAGCACAAAUUGAAAUCAAAGUCACACAAAAAAUCUUCUAUAACUACUUCAAGUAAACAUCUAGUUCAAUAUUCAGAUGUUAGUUCUGAAGAACUUAGUAGUCCAGAGGCUGGUGAAAUACAUAGUGAUUUUGAUGAGAAACAUGCGGCCUUACGUUUAAAACCUCCUCCUUUUCCUCCUCCUACCAGAAUAAUAACUAAUAAUUUUCGAAUUACUACAGUCACCUCACCUAAUAGAAAUAUUGUAACAGCUUGUUCCCCUAUAAAUAAUCAUUGGGAACUCGAUCCGGUACUAGAAAAAUCUUCAAUGUCUACUACUUUCAAUUUAAAUAAUAGUGUAGAUAUGGCAUCAGAAGUAUCACAUUUAAAGUACAAAAAAGCUAAAAAAAACAAUAAAAAACCUAAAAGCCCUAGUUCAAAAAAGAAAAAAAAGAAGAAGGAUUUGAAACAUAAAUCUGCUGAUGUGUUACCAGUCUGUGAUAAUAGUUUUGUGAAGUCUUCCAAAUGUUCUAAUUUGGAACCUUCCAAACGAAAUGGUGAUUUUAAUGAACCUAUUAAAAAACAUAAACCUAUUGAGGUUUCACAUACUCCACCAUUAACAAAAUCAGAUCAUAUCAAAAUUUCCAAAGUUGAGGUGACGCAUAAAGAAGACGAAAAACACACCAAACAUCAUAGAAAAGAAAAUAAAAGUUGGAUUAAGAGCCCGCCAUUAUUAAAUAAUAUAUCACAAAGGAAAGAAUACAGUCGAACUCCUGAACCUGCAGAUAAUAGAUAUAAUUAUCGAUCACGAAGUAUUUCAAAACAAAAUAACAGGGACCAUAAAAGACGUAUGGAUGAGUAUGAAAGAUAUGAAACUGAUGAACACAAAUCUAGUAGAAAUCGUGACAAACAUGAGAGUAAACACGACAGCAAACAUGAAAGUAAACAUGAGAGCAAACAUGAAAGAAGUAGAGUACGAAAAACUAAAUCUGAUAAAGAUAGAUCACCUGUACACAGUCACAGAUUAUCACGAAGUCCAAUUCGAGAUCGUCGACACCAUGAACAUACGAGAAGUUCCAAAGCAGGAUAUUCUAGAUCACAUUCCCAUUCCCGUUCCUAUUCUCGUUCACGUUCACCACAUUCUCCCCGUCAAUCGAGACAUGAUCAUCACCAUGGACACCACUCACCAAAACAUAGUCAAAAAUCUCCUCCACGUACAACUUCAAGAUCAUCAAAGCACAUAUCCCAUGUCUCAAGAGCUGUUUCACCUCACACUUCACGUUCUUCAAGAAAAUCAAGUCAUGUUCGACCAAAAUAUUCUCGUUCUCCACCUAAAAAUAUUCGUACUCAAAGUAAAUCGCCUUCUCCAGUAAAGGAAUCAAAAACUACUAAAAAACAUUCUGAUAGUGAUUCACCUGGAUGUUAUUCUUCAGUCUCUAAGAAAAAAAAAUCUACAAAAAGUCCAGCUAAACAAUAUAAUUCUAAAGUUAAACUUAGUGAAACAAGUCUCUUUGCCGAGUUGGUUAAAGAUCGGCAAAUGCGUGAAUUAGCCAUGAAGUGUUUGACACAAAUUAGUACUAAAACUGUAGAUGAAAAUGAAGUAGUUGAAAUACAUGAUGAUUCAGAUAAUGAACAAAAUAGUUCUAAAACUAUUGAUGCAAGUACAAAAUUACACAAAAUUAAUGCGAAUAAUGAAAAUAAUACUGGUGUAAUAGUAGAAAACAAUAGUCAAACCUCUAAACCUGAUAUUGAAAUAUCUAAUAUAAAAUCAGUUAUUUCACCAAUUAUUGAAACGACUCCUAAAAUUCAAGCAGUUCCUUUAAAAAGUCAAAGCCCAUCUAUUACAAAAAUAGAAAUCAUAGAAAAUGGAAUUGAACAUUCUUUAGAAUCUAUAGUAUCAAUAACAUCACCUGAGAAAAAAAUUGAAGUAAUAGAAAAUAAAGACUUAUCCAAAAUGCCAUUGCCACCUGUUUUUCCAGUACUUGAUGAAACAUCUUCAGAUUCAGAAAUAAAGAGUUCGAAAAAAAGCAUUAAAGAUUUACCUUUACCACCAGGACUUGUGCAAAAUAUGGAUAAAAUAGAUGAUGAUAGAAAUCUUUCUUUGUCAGAGAUUGUAUCAAAUCCUUUACCUGAUGGUCAACAAAGCGCAAUUAAAAGAUCAAUUAUGUUGGGCUUGGGAUCAGGGUUUCCACAAAGUUUUUCUUUUACUUCAAAUAUGGAAAGGCCCUCUCGCCCAUUAGAUCCAAAUGUGAAAAUUAAACGACCCAAAGUACUUUAUCGAAGACGAAGUACAAAAUCUGCUGCAGCUAAUCCUAUUGAUUGGGGAGAGCAGUGUGUUGAUAUGUUUGAAGUGAUAAAUCAAAUAGGUGAAGGAACGUAUGGUCAAGUUUACAAAGCAAAAGAUAAGACCUCAGGUACAUUUGUAGCAUUGAAAAAAGUUCGACUUGAAAAUGAAAAAGAAGGAUUUCCUAUAACUGCUGUUCGAGAAAUAAAAAUUUUACGGCAAUUAAACCAUAAAAAUAUUGUUAAUCUGAGAGAAAUUGUAACUGAUAAACAAGAUGCCCUUGAUUUUAAAAAAGACAGAGGAUCAUUUUAUUUAGUAUUCGAAUACAUGGAUCAUGAUCUUAUGGGGUUAUUAGAAUCUGGAAUGGUUGACUUUAAUGAAACACAUAAUGCCAGUAUUAUGCGACAAUUGUUAGAAGGCUUGAAUUAUUGUCAUCGUCGAAAUUUUCUUCAUAGAGAUAUUAAAUGCAGUAACAUCUUAAUGAACAACAAAGGCGAAGUCAAGUUAGCCGAUUUUGGUUUAGCUAGGUUAUAUAAUGCUCAAGAUAGACAACGACCAUACACUAAUAAAGUGAUAACACUCUGGUAUAGGCCACCUGAAUUAUUACUUGGCGAAGAGAGGUAUGGAACUUCAAUAGAUGUUUGGUCAUGUGGAUGUAUUUUGGGAGAAUUAUUUUUAAAAAAGCCUUUAUUUCAGGCCAAUGAAGAAAUGAUGCAAUUAGAAACUAUAUCUCGUUUAUGUGGUAGUCCAACACCUGCUGUAUGGCCUACUGUAAUCAACUUACCUUUUUGGCAUUCUUUAAAAGCUAAAAAAGUACAUCGACGUCGGUUACGCGAAGAAUUUACUUUUAUGAAUGACAGUGCCUUGGAUCUUUUAGAUCACAUGUUAGAAUUAGAUCCUAGCAAACGAAUUACUGCUGAUAAAGCUCUAAAAUGCAAUUGGUUAAAAAAUGUCCAACCUGACAAAAUGGAUGUGACAGCAUUACCAACAUGGCAAGAUUGUCAUGAGCUUUGGAGUAAAAAAAGAAAAAGAGAUCAAAGAGUACGAGAAAACCAAUCUAAAACUAAUGAAUCUAGUGAACUGGCUGGAGGAGUUCCUGCUGAUCUGUCAAAUAAUGAAAAUAAUUUAGCCGACGGUUUCAAGUCGAUCAUUGAAAACAAUACAAAUGAAGCGGAGAGUGAUAUAAUAGCAGCACUUGCCAAUAAUAACCAUUCAAUGAAAUCUGAUAUUGACUCUGAAAAACCUAUUAACAAUGUGGAAACAGAUGAGGUACAUACACAUUGAUACAGUAUUCAGAUAAUGUUUUAUAGUUGAUUAGAUAAAAUUAGCUUAAUGAUGUUAUCUAUAGCAAUUGGUGUCUAGUACAACUGUUGACGUAAUUGAUGAUUUAAAUCUAACUCCACCUAUCAACGAUUUUAAUCCAUGCUUAAAAACUUUUCUUCCAAAAACUGGUGGAUUCUAGGUCUUGUAUUUUUUUUUUGUUUUUUUUUUUUUUUUUUAAUUUUAAUAAUUUUCUACACUCAUUAUGGUUUUAAUUAUUAUUAUUACAUAUGUUUAUAUACAUUUAUGUAGGGUGUUUUCUAAUUUUCCUGUAUUAGUACUAUGAUAAAAACUGGUCUACCCCAUACAUUGAUCUAUGUGUAUAUACAUAUGUGUAUUUUAGAUUUAUAAUAUGUAUAAUCAUUUUUUACUUCGUUAUUACUUAAUAUUAUGUAAAAAUAACUAUAUAUUUAUUAUAUUUUUUCUUAGAAAUAAUAGUUAUAUAUUUUUACAUUCAAUUUGGAAACGCGUACAAUUAAGUUUAGUUUAAUGUUUUGUGUUGUAUAAAAUCCUUAAAUAUUUAUCCUUAUACAAUUAUAAAUAUAUGUAAUUAAAUUAUAACAAUUUUAUUGUAUCCUAAAAAAAAUGUAUUAUAUGAUGAAACAAUCAAAUAACAACCGAGCACAUUUAUUUUAAUUAAAAAAUAAUUUACAAAAUUGCUCGCUUGAAAAAUUUCAUAAACUUUCAUUACCAUACUUGUCGAGCAUAAUUAUACAAUUAAAAUCUUUUGAAUGAAUUAUAAAUUUUAAGUAUCAAUAUGAAAAAUUAGUUUUACCUUAAAAACUGUUUGCUUUAAUUUAUGAGUGGUCAUAUUUUUUUUACAAUUAACCAGAUUAUACCAAAGUAGAUAUUUAUCAAAUUAUCAUAAUUUUUAACUGUUGAAUAUGUUAGUAUAUUUUUAACAUAAUGAAAUUAUAUUAUUAAAUGACUAAGCUUAAAUUUAGAUUUUCAUCUAUUAAUACAUUUGAUAUGUUAUUGUUAUCAAAUACCUAAUCAACUUAUAGCAAUUGUUCAUCAGGGUAUUAAUGAUAUUGAACUUGCUGUAGCUUUCUUUCUUAAUAAAUCCUUUUAUUUAUUUUUAAAAUUAGAUUUAGCCCUAAUAAUAGCUUUAAGUAGUUGUACGUUUAAUUUUAUCAUCAUUAUAUGUACUGAAAUACAAAUUGUAAAUAUUUUUGUUAGAUUUAUUACAUGAACUUUUCAUUUGUGGUAGAGUAUAAUAUAUAUUAUACAUAAUCAUAUUAUUAUAUAUUAUAUUUUUUUGAAUGAAAGGUAUUAUUGUUUCAAUUUUUACAGUAAGUAGUAUUAAGAGAAAACAUUUAAAGCUAAUAUAACUCAAAAAAAAAUAUUUUGCGAACAAUUAGUUCAACUUUAUGCUUGAUGUACUUGUUGUUAUAUGUAUAUAAUAUUGUAUAUUUUUUAAUAUAACAUUGAAAAGAAUUAAAAAAAUAUUACUCAUUUUGUUCUCUUCCACGAAUCUUGGGAUUAGUUUGAGGAUGUAUUCAGUUUUUUGAGUGAAGGAUAAUAUCAUAUGCACAAUGAUGUUCUACUAAAUUCAAAAACUCAAUAAAUUUCUGGAAUUAUAGGCCUGUAAAUUAAUGAAAAUGUAAGUUUUUUUUUUUAUUUCAUAUAAAAAAAAAAAUGAAAUAUUAUAUUAAUUAUAUAAUCAACAAUUUGAAGUAUAAUUGAUGCAUUUUUGUUCUAUAAUUUU